UACGUAGGGGCCGAGCGUUGUCCGGAAUUACUGGGCGUAAAGAGCUCGUAGGUGGUUUGUCGCGUUGUCCGUGAAAACUCACAACUCAAUUGUGGGCGUGCGGGCGAUACGGGCAGACUGGAGUACUGCAGGGGAGACUGGAAUUCCUGGUGUAGCGGUGGAAUGCGCAGAUAUCAGGAGGAACACCAGUGGCGAAGGCGGCUCUCUGGACCUCUGCUGACGCUGAGGCGCGAAAGCGUGGGGAGCAAACGGG
rnacentral:rRNA from 1 species